ACACCUAGAGGCCUUGCAGAUGUGGUGCUGUGUCACACUUCUGUUAGUUGGUGGCACAGAGAAGAGUCUGUGUCUAUGCUGUGAUUUGAACCAUAAACAUUCAAAUGAUUUGUCAACUGUCACU
ensembl:snoRNA